ensembl:snoRNA SNORD12C small nucleolar RNA, C/D box 12C
GCUGGCGUACAUGAUGACUUGACUUUUCCCCAUCAGAUCGACCAUGCUGAGAGGUCUUAGAAUACUUGCCAGUUGGUUCUGAUACGCCAGC